UUGUCUUUUAAUUAAAGACUAGAACAAAAGAUUUAACAUUUCAAUUAAUAUAUUAAAAUUAAUUAAUUAAAUUUAUUCAAAAUGUAAAAAAACAUUUAUAAAUUAGGAAGACGAUAAGACCCUAUUAAACUUAACUUUAGUUAAACUGGGGCAGUUAAUCAAUUAUCAUUUUAAUUUAAAUAUAAAAAUAAAUAGAUCCUAUAAAAUAGAUCAAAUGAUCAAGUUACUAUAGGGAUAACAGCGUAAUAUUAAUUUAAAGAUCUUAUUAAAAUAAAAGAUUACGACCUCGAUGUUGAAUUAAUAACCUAUAUUAUUGCAAUAAAUAAUUAAAGGAAGUCUGUUCGACUUUAAAAAAAUUACA
rnacentral:rRNA from 1 species